UACGGAGGGGACUAGCGUUGUUCGGAAUUACUGGGCGUAAAGCGCACGUAGGCGGAUUUGUAAGUCAGGGGUGAAAUCCCGGGGCUCAACCCCGGAACUGCCUUUGAUACUGCGAAUCUCGAGUCCGGAAGAGGUGAGUGGAAUUCCUAGUGUAGAGGUGAAAUUCGUAGAUAUUCGGAAGAACACCAGUGGCGAAGGCGGCUCACUGGACUGGUAUUGACGCUGAGGUGCGAAAGCGUGGGGAGCAAACAGG
rnacentral:rRNA from 1 species